rnacentral:rRNA from 1 species
CGAAGAANAGCAAUACUUAGUGGCAGACGGGUGAGUAACAUGUGCGUAUCUGCCCUUUGGCCUGGAAUAACACGAGGAAACAUGUGCUAAUACCGGAUAAGUCUUUACGGAGAAAGCUUUAUGCACCAUUGGAUGAGCCCGCACUUGAUUAGUUAGUUGGUAGGGUAAUGGCCUACCAAGACUGUGAUCAAUAGCUGAUUUGAGAGGAUGAUCAGCCACAUUGGGACUGAGACACGGCCCAAACUCCUACGGGAGGCAGCAGUGGGGAAUCUUGCACAAUGGAGGAAACUCUGAUGCAGCGAUGCCGCGUGAGUGAAGAAGGCCUUUGGGUUGUAAAGCUCUUUCGUCGGGGAAGAAAAUGACUGUACCCGAAUAAGAAGGUCCGGCUAACUUCGUGCCAGCAGCCGCGGUAAUACGAAGGGACCUAGCGUAGUUCGGAAUUACUGGGCUUAAAGAGUUCGUAGGUGGUUGAAAAAGUUGGUGGUGAAAUCCCAGAGCUUAACUCUGGAACUGCCAUCAAAACUUUUCAGCUAGAGUAUGAUAGAGGAAAGCAGAAUUUCUAGUGUAGAGGUGAAAUUCGUAGAUAUUAGAAAGAAUACCGAUUGCGAAGGCAGCUUUCUGGAUCAUUACUGACACUGAGGAACGAAAGCAUGGGUAGCGAAGAGGAUUAGAUACCCUCGUAGUCCAUGCCGUAAACGAUGUGUGUUAGACGUUGGAAAUUUAUUUUCAGUGUCGCAGCGAAAGCGAUAAACACACCGCCUGGGGAGUACGACCGCAAGGUUAAAACUCAAAUGAAUUGACGGGGACCCGCACAAGUAGUGGAGCA